rnacentral:lncRNA from 1 species
AAAAAAAAAAAAACAAGCAUAUGAUUGUUUGUUACCUUAUUUCAGCACAUGCUGAAGUAGGUAGUAUGAAAAACUUUCUUGAUCUUUCUCCAAUCUGCAGUAGCUAGCAUCAAAAGAAUGAGGAAGUGCUUAUUGCAAUUCAAAUUCUGAAGCAAGGAAAUUCUUUUUUGGUUUCUUAGUACUCAUUUCAGUCAAUUGUCUUGUUCUAGUAUGGUAUAUCCACAAAUUUGUGGUCCAAAGGAAAAAGAAGGAACAUUAUUAGUGUAGUACAAAGUAAAAGUUCAAU